rnacentral:ncRNA from 2 species
CUUUAAAAGUAACAACUAGGUGCCCAUCAGGGAUAACAGGGAAUCGGGUGCAAAUCCCGAACGGUCCCGCCACUGUAACUGAGUAGUGUUAUUUCAUCACGUCACUCGACUUUGUCGGGGAAGGCGAAAUAAACACGAUGAUCAGGAGUCAGGAGACCUACCUAGUUUGUUCGCCAAUU